AGAGUUUGAUCAUGGCUCAGAGUGAACGCUGGGCGGCAGGCCUAACACAUGCAAGUCGAGCGGCAGCGCGGGGGCAACCCUGGCGGCGAGCGGCGGACGGGUGAGGAAUGCAUCGGAAUCUACCUCGUUGUGGGGGAUAACCUCGGGAAACCGGGACUAAUACCGCAUACGACCUACGGGUGAAAGUGGGGGACCUUCGGGCCUCACGCGAUGAGAUGAGCCGAUGCCGGAUUAGCUAGUUGGCGGGGUAAAGGCCCACCAAGGCGACGAUCCGUAGCUGGUCUGAGAGGAUGAUCAGCCACACUGGAACUGAGACACGGUCCAGACUCCUACGGGAGGCAGCAGUGGGGAAUAUUGGACAAUGGGCGCAAGCCUGAUCCAGCCAUGCCGCGUGUGUGAAGAAGGCCUUCGGGUUGUAAAGCACUUUUGUUGGGGAAGAAACCGGCCGGAUUAAUACUUCGGUUGAAUGACGGUACCCAAAGAAUAAGCACCGGCUAACUUCGUGCCAGCAGCCGCGGUAAUACGAAGGGUGCAAGCGUUACUCGGAAUUACUGGGCGUAAAGCGUGCGUAGGCGGUUUGUUAAGUCUGUCGUGAAAGCCCCGGGCUCAACCUGGGAAUGGCGAUGGAUACUGGCAAGCUAGAGUGUGUCAGAGGAUGGUGGAAUUCCCGGUGUAGCGGUGAAAUGCGUGAGAGAUCGGGAGGAACACCAGUGGCGAAGGCGGCCAUC
rnacentral:rRNA from 1 species